GGAAGGGUCGCAUAGUUGGCCUAGUGCGCGCGCCUGGAAAGCGCGUAUCCGGUAAAACGGAUCGCGGGUUCGAAUCCCGCCCCUUCCG
rnacentral:tRNA from 2 species